rnacentral:tRNA from 1 species
GCCUGGGUGGCUCAGUCGGUUGAGCGUCUGACUUCAGCUCAGGUCACGAUCUCGCGGUCCAUGAGUUCGAGCCCCGCAUCGGGCU